rnacentral:rRNA from 2 species
AUUGAACGCUGGCGGCAGGCUUAACACAUGCAAGUCGAACGGAGUAUAGAGCUUGCUCUAUAUUUAGUGGCGAACGGGUGAGUAAUGCCUAGGAAUCUGCCCAUUAGCGGGGGAUAACGUGUGGAAACGCACGCUAAUACCGCAUACGCCCUACGGGGGAAAGCAGGGGAUCUUCGGACCUUGCACUAAUGGAUGAGCCUAGGUCGGAUUAGCUAGUUGGUAGGGUAAAGGCCUACCAAGGCUACGAUCUGUAGCGGGUCUGAGAGGAUGAUCCGCCACACUGGAACUGAGACACGGUCCAGACUCCUACGGGAGGCAGCAGUGGGGAAUAUUGGACAAUGGGGGCAACCCUGAUCCAGCCAUGCCGCGUGUGUGAAGAAGGCCUUUUGGUUGUAAAGCACGUUUAAGCGAGGAGGAGGGCACCCUGAUUAAUACUCAGGAGUGUCGGACGUUACUCGCAGAAUAAGCACCGGCUAACUCUGUGCCAGCAGCCGCGGUAAUACAGAGGGUGCGAGCGUUAAUCGGAAUUACUGGGCGUAAAGCGCGCGUAGGCGGUUAUGUAAGUUGGAUGUGAAAUCCCCGGGCUUAACCUGGGCACUGCAUUCAAAACUGCAUAGCUAGAGUAUGGGAGAGGAUGGUAGAAUUCCAGGUGUAGCGGUGAAAUGCGUAGAGAUCUGGAGGAAUACCGAUGGCGAAGGCAGCCAUCUGGCCUAAUACUGACGCUGAGGUGCGAAAGCAUGGGGAGCAAACAGGAUUAGAUACCCUGGUAGUCCAUGCCGUAAACGAUGUCAACUAGCCGUUGGGGACCUUGAGUCUUUAGUGGCGCAGCUAACGCGAUAAGUUGACCGCCUGGGGAGUACGGUCGCAAGACUAAAACUCAAAUGAAUUGACGGGGGCCCGCACAAGCGGUGGAGCAUGUGGUUUAAUUCGAUGCAACGCGAAGAACCUUACCUAGCCUUGACAUGUCUGGAAUCUUGUAGAGAUACGAGAGUGCCUUCGGGAAUCAGAACACAGGUGCUGCAUGGCUGUCGUCAGCUCGUGUCGUGAGAUGUUGGGUUAAGUCCCGCAACGAGCGCAACCCUUUUCCUUAUUUGCCAGCACUUCGGGUGGGAACUUUAAGGAUACUGCCAGUGACAAACUGGAGGAAGGCGGGGACGACGUCAAGUCAUCAUGGCCCUUACGGCUAGGGCUACACACGUGCUACAAUGGUCGGUACAAAGGGUCGCUAACCCGCGAGGGCAUGCCAAUCUCAAAAAGCCGAUCGUAGUCCAGAUUGGAGUCUGCAACUCGACUCCAUGAAGUCGGAAUCGCUAGUAAUCGCGGAUCAGAAUGUCGCGGUGAAUACGUUCCCGGGCCUUGUACACACCGCCCGUCACACCAUGGGAGUUUGUUGCACCAGAAGUAGUUAGCCUAACCGUAAGGAGGGCGAUUACCACGGUGUGGCCAAUGACUGGGGUG